UCCUACGGGUGGCAGCAGUGGGGAAUUUUGCGCAAUGGGCGAAAGCCUGACGCAGCAACGCCGCGUGCGGGAAGAAGGCCCUCGGGUUGUAAACCGCUUUCGGCAGGAACGAAAUUGACGGUACCUGCAGAAGAAGCCCCGGCCAACUACGUGCCAGCAGCCGCGGUAAUACGUAGGGGGCGAGCGUUGUCCGGAUUCAUUGGGCGUAAAGAGCUCGUAGGCGGUUCGGUAAGUCAGAUGUGAAAACUCCAGGCUCAACUUGGAGACGCCAUCUGAUACUGUCGUGACUAGAGUCCGGUAGGGGAGCACGGAAUUCCUGGUGUAGCGGUGAAAUGCGCAGAUAUCAGGAGGAACACCAGCGGCGAAGGCGGUGCUCUGGGCCGGAACUGACGCUGAGGAGCGAAAGCGUGGGUAGCGAACAGGAUUAGAUACCCUGGUAGUCG
rnacentral:rRNA from 1 species